rnacentral:rRNA from 1 species
AUUGAACGCUGGCGGCAGGCCUAACACAUGCAAGUCGAGGGGUAGAGUUAGCUUGCUAACUUGAGACCGGCGCACGGGUGCGUAACGCGUAUGCAAUCUACCUUGUACAGAGGGAUAGCCCAGAGAAAUUUGGAUUAAUACCUCAUAGUAUUAUUGAAUGGCAUCAUUUGAUUAUUAAAGUUCCAACGGUACAAGAUGAGCAUGCGUCCCAUUAGCUAGAUGGUAAGGUAACGGCUUACCAUGGCAACGAUGGGUAGGGGUCCUGAGAGGGAGAGCCCCCACACUGGUACUGGGACACGGACCAGACUCCUACGGGAGGCAGCAGUGAGGAAUAUUGGUCAAUGGGCGCAAGCCUGAACCAGCCAUGCCGCGUGCAGGAAGACGGUCCUAUGGAUUGUAAACUGCUUUUAUACGGGAAUAAACCCUGCUACGUGUAGCAGCUUGACGGUACCGUAAGAAUAAGCAUCGGCUAACUCCGUGCCAGCAGCCGCCGUAA